UACGUAGGGGGCCAGCGUUGCUCGGAAUUACUGGGCGUAAAGGGUUCGUAGGUGGUGCGGCAAGUUGGGAGUGAAAUCUCUGGGCUCAACCCAGAGGCUGCUUCCAAAACUGCUGUGCUUGAGUGUGGGAGAGGCGCGUGGAAUUGCAGGUGUAGCGGUGAAAUGCGUAGAUAUCUGCAGGAACACCCGAGGCGAAGGCGGCUCGCUGGAUCACAACUGACGCUGAGGGACGAAAGCUAGGGGAGCAAACAGG
rnacentral:rRNA from 1 species